UGAGAGAGAGAGAGGGAGGGAGGGAGGGAGAGAGAGACCAGAGAUUUGAAUAGCCAAAAAUGAAGCCGGUGGUGGGUAUGGUGAUAAGGAAUAAGAUGCAGAAAUCGGUGGUGGUGGCUGUGGAUCGCCUCUUCUACCACAAAGUUUACAACCGCUACGUUACGCGCACCUCCAAAUUCAUGGCCCAUGACGAGCAAAACCGAUGCAACCUUGGCGACCGUGUAAAGUUGGAACCUACGAGGCCGCUGAGCAAGCGGAAGCAUUGGAUUGUCGUUGACAUUCUUAAGAAGUACAAAAUUUAUCCGCCCACGGCCCACGGGGACGGAAGUGUCUAAACUCAAGAUUUAAGCACGGAAGAGAAGAAGGAAAAAAAAAAAAAAAAAGAAUCUAUGCAGAAUUUGAAAUGUGAUAGCCAAAUUAAUACGCUGUUUGUACCAGUCUAGAACACACUCAACACAGUUGUAAGUACUUGUUUAACAGAGGUUAUGUUUUACUAAAACAUUGGAUGUAAAUUCACUGACUCAUCAUUUAUUUGACCGUUGCAUUUGAAUGACGUGUCUUUUCUCGAAAGAUUUGGGGGGUGUGAUAUUGCAGUUUAUUUUCCUGAACUAGAUAUUCAUCUCUAUCUUCACAUGACAAAGUGUGACGCCCUUAAGCAAGGAUCAAUGGCAUACUUUACGAGACUUCAUAGCUAAUGCUAAUUGCUCAUCAGGGCUUUCAAUUUUGUCACAUGAGACUAAGGUCAAUAAUAAAGGGUACGAGCUAAUAGCAUUUGUGCGUGUGUUGGUAUUUUUUUUUUUUUUUU